AUUGAACGCUGGCGGCAGGCCUAACACAUGCAAGUCGAGCGGUAACACAGAGAGCUUGCUCUCGGGUGACGAGCGGCGGACGGGUGAGUAAUGUCUGGGAAACUGCCUGAUGGAGGGGGAUAACUACUGGAAACGGUAGCUAAUACCGCAUAACGUCGCAAGACCAAAGUGGGGGACCUUCGGGCCUCAUGCCAUCAGAUGUGCCCAGAUGGGAUUAGCUAGUAGGUGGGGUAAUGGCUCACCUAGGCGACGAUCCCUAGCUGGUCUGAGAGGAUGACCAGCCACACUGGAACUGAGACACGGUCCAGACUCCUACGGGAGGCAGCAGUGGGGAAUAUUGCACAAUGGGCGCAAGCCUGAUGCAGCCAUGCCGCGUGUAUGAAGAAGGCCUUCGGGUUGUAAAGUACUUUCAGCGAGGAGGAAGGCAUUAAGGUUAAUAACCUUGGUGAUUGACGUUACUCGCAGAAGAAGCACCGGCUAACUCCGUGCCAGCAGCCGCGGUAAUACGGAGGGUGCAAGCGUUAAUCGGAAUUACUGGGCGUAAAGCGCACGCAGGCGGUCUGUCAAGUCGGAUGUGAAAUCCCCGGGCUCAACCUGGGAACUGCAUUCGAAACUGGCAGGCUAGAGUCUUGUAGAGGGGGGUAGAAUUCCAGGUGUAGCGGUGAAAUGCGUAGAGAUCUGGAGGAAUACCGGUGGCGAAGGCGGCCCCCUGGACAAAGACUGACGCUCAGGUGCGAAAGCGUGGGGAGCAAACAGGAUUAGAUACCCUGGUAGUCCACGCCGUAAACGAUGUCGACUUGGAGGUUGUGCCCUUGAGGCGUGGCUUCCGGAGCUAACGCGUUAAGUCGACCGCCUGGGGAGUACGGCCGCAAGGUUAAAACUCAAAUGAAUUGACGGGGGCCCGCACAAGCGGUGGAGCAUGUGGUUUAAUUCGAUGCAACGCGAAGAACCUUACCUACUCUUGACAUCCAGAGAACUUAGCAGAGAUGCUUUGGUGCCUUCGGGAACUCUGAGACAGGUGCUGCAUGGCUGUCGUCAGCUCGUGUUGUGAAAUGUUGGGUUAAGUCCCGCAACGAGCGCAACCCUUAUCCUUUGUUGCCAGCGGUCCGGCCGGGAACUCAAAGGAGACUGCCAGUGAUAAACUGGAGGAAGGUGGGGAUGACGUCAAGUCAUCAUGGCCCUUACGAGUAGGGCUACACACGUGCUACAAUGGCAUAUACAAAGAGAAGCGACCUCGCGAGAGCAAGCGGACCUCAUAAAGUAUGUCGUAGUCCGGAUUGGAGUCUGCAACUCGACUCCAUGAAGUCGGAAUCGCUAGUAAUCGUAGAUCAGAAUGCUACGGUGAAUACGUUCCCGGGCCUUGUACACACCGCCCGUCACACCAUGGGAGUGGGUUGCAAAAGAAGUAAGUAGCUUAACCUUCGGGAGGGCGCUUACCACUUUGUGAUUCAUGACUGGGGUG
rnacentral:rRNA from 1 species